rnacentral:rRNA from 1 species
CGGGACGGGUAGAGUAUGACUGGAACUGCUGAGUGGAGGGGAUACACUGGAAACGGUAGCUAAUACCGCAUAACGUCGCAAGACCAAAGAGGGGGACCUUCGGGCCUCUUGCCAUCGGAUGUGCCCAGAUGGGAUUAGCUAGUAGGUGGGGUAACGGCUCACCUAGGCGACGAUCCCUAGCUGGUCUGAGAGGAUGACCAGCCACACUGGAACUGAGACACGGUCCAG